rnacentral:rRNA from 1 species
GUGGGGAAUCUUGCGCAAUGGGCGAAAGCCUGACGCAGCCAUGCCGCGUGGAUGAUGAAGGUCUUAGGAUUGUAAAAUCCUUUCACCGGUGAAGAUAAUGACUGUAGCCGGAGAAGAAGCCCCGGCUAACUUCGUGCCAGCAGCCGCGGUAAUACGAAGGGGGCUAGCGUUGCUCGGAAUUACUGGGCGUAAAGGGCGCGUAGGCGGACAGUUUAGUCAGAGGUGAAAGCCCAGGGCUCAACCUUGGAAUUGCCUUUGAUACUGGCUGUCUUGAGUACGGGAGAGGUGAGUGGAAAUCCGAGUGGAGAGGUGAAAUUCGUAGAUAUUCGGAAGAACACCAGUGGCGAAGGCGACUCACUGGCCCGUUACUGACGCUGAGGCGCGAAAGCGUGGGGAGCAAACAGGAUUAGAUACCCCUGUAGUCC